rnacentral:rRNA from 1 species
AUUGAACGCUGGCGGCAUGCCUUACGCAUGCAAGCCGAACGGCAGCACGGGGCAACCUGGUGGCGAGUGGCGAACGGGUGAGUAAUGCAUCGGAACGUACCUUUCAGUGGGGGAUAACGUAGCGAAAGUUACGCUAAUACCGCAUAUUCUGUGAGCAGGAAAGCAGGGGAUCGCAAGACCUUGCGCUGAUUGAGCGGCCGAUGUCAGAUUAGCUAGUUGGUGAGGUAAAGGCUCACCAAGGCGACGAUCCGUAGCGGGUCUGAGAGGGUGAUCCGCCACACUGGAACUGAGACACGGUCCAGACUCCUACGGGAGGCAGCAGUGGGGAAUUUUGGACAAUGGGGGCAACCCUGAUCCAGCCAUGCCGCGUGAGUGAAGAAGGCCUUCGGGUUGUAAAGCUCUUUCGGCCGGGAAGAAAUCGCACGGGCUAAUACCCUGUGUGGAUGACGGUACCGGAAUAAGAAGCACCGGCUAACUACGUGCCAGCCGCCGCGGUAAAAC